CGGAAAUCCAACCAUCCUUUAUAAAGGCCUGAUUCCACGGGCGCUUUUUCUCGGCGAAAUGCGAAAUAUUUCGCUUGUUUCUUUUGAAUUGUGAGCAAUCAAGUAGAAAUAAUUUAUUCGAGUGGUCGCAAUUCAAAAGACACAGGCGAAAUAUUUCGCAUUUCGCCGAGAAAAAGCUCCCGUGGAAUCAGGCCUUAAGCCGGUCUUACGGGCGGCUCUCGAAACAGUGCAGCUGGUGUACAUGUAGGCUUGUGGUGGUUUGGAACGUUGAACGAUAUGUUGAUGCCCAGAGUGUCUUAAUGUGAUGAUGUCUCACACACGAUUGUACAGGCCGUAUAUUAAUGUCUCACGUAAGUUACGGUUCUAGAUUUCGUAUUAUUCCUGGUCUCACACUCGAGAUUUUCAUAAAUAUGUAGGCCCUUGUUUCGAAUGUGCAAACUUAGAAUUCAAAUGUGUUGAUUGUUUUAUUAAAGAUUUUCGUUUCGCAGCAUCCAUUUGUCUGACACCCAAGUCAGUUUCACGAUCGAACGGUCUCCUUUCAGUAACUCCAUCUGUUUGCUGAAAAUUUCAAGAAAGAAGGUCAGUUAAUGUUACUGAUCACGCAACCACUUCUGGCUACCAAAAACUGAGACAUCAAGUAAGACAUUCUUUGUACAGCAAGUUUAUACAUGCCCAUAGCAUUA